GUUUUCUGGUAGGCUGUUUUUUCAGCGAUGAUGGUGAUCAGAGCUUGUAGGGAGGAGUAUGAUACAGGCAUUCUUGAGAGCAUCUUGAGUUACCCAAGAAAGAAGUUCCCAGAUAUGACAUCUGACAGUGUGGUCAAAACAGCAUUAAGGAACAAAAUUACCUGUCUUGAUGCUAAG